rnacentral:rRNA from 1 species
UACGUAGGGUCCGAGCGUUGUCCGGAAUUACUGGGCGUAAAGGGCGCGUAGGCGGCCUGCUAAGUCGAACGUGAAAUCCCUGGGCUCAACCCAGGAACUGCGUCCGAUACUGGUUGGCUUGAAUCCGGGAGAGGGACGUGGAAUUCCUGGUGUAGCGGUGAAAUGCGCAGAUAUCAGGAAGAACACCAAUGGCGAAAGCAGCUCUCUGGGACGGUACUGACGCUGAGACGCGAAAGCGUGGGGAGCGAACAGG